AUACGUAGGGGGCGAGCGUUGUCCGGAAUGAUUGGGCGUAAAGGGCGCGUAGGCGGCGCGGUAAGUCUGGAGUGAAAGUCCUGCUUUCAAGGUGGGAAUUGCUUUGGAUACUGCCGCGCUUGAGUGCAGGAGAGGUUAUCGGAAUUCCCGGUGUAGCGGUGAAAUGCGUAGAGAUCGGGAGGAACACCAGUGGCGAAGGCGGGUAACUGGACUGCAACUGACGCUGAGGCGCGAAAGUAUGGGGAGCAAACAGGAUUAGAUACCCUGGUAGUCCACACUGUAAACGAUGAAUGCUAGGUGUAAGAGGUAUCGACCCCUUUUGUGCCGGAGUCAACACAAUAAGCAUUCCGCCUGGGGAGUACGGCCGCAAGGUUGAAACUCAAAGGAAUUGACGGGG
rnacentral:rRNA from 1 species